AUACGUAGGGGGCAAGCGUUAUCCGGAUUUACUGGGUGUAAAGGGAGCGCAGACGGUGAAGCAAGUCUGAAGUGAAAGCCCGCGGCUUAACUGCGGGACUGCUUUUGAAACUGUAUCCCUUGAGUAUCGGAGAGGCAGGCGGAAUUCCUAGUGUAGCGGUGAAAUGCGUAGAUAUUAGGAGGAACACCAGUGGCGAAGGCGGCCUGCUGGACGACAACUGACGCUGAGGCGCGAAAGCGUGGGGAGCAAACAGGAUUAGAUACCCUGGUAGUCCACGCUGUAAACGAUGAAUACUAGGUGUGGGGGGACUGACCCCCUCCGUGCCGCAGUUAACACAAUAAGUAUUCCACCUGGGGAGUACGAUCGCAAGAUUGAAACUCAAAGGAAUUGACGGGG
rnacentral:rRNA from 1 species